rnacentral:lncRNA from 1 species
CUGGGGGCUUCUCAAAAAACACUCGUUCUGAUUUUUAUUUGACAUAGCUUUCUUGUGUUUGGACUUUUUGGCAUGAGAAGAAUGCUAGAGUUUUUCAACAAAAAGGGUACUCCAUUAAACAACUCAUAGAAAAGGUUAAACUCCAAUCCUUCUAGUGAUUGAAGACAAAUCAUCAUAGUUUUGAUUUCACUUACCACACCUGGUGGUUUAAGCCACUCUCAUGUUUAGGAGUUUUUAUUUAGUUUCGAUUUCUUUUAUUCUCUUUAGUGUUUGCAUGAUUUUUGGCUAUAUCAUUAAGUUUUUGUUCUUGGUUUUCAGAUGCGACUGAUAUUAUUUUUCUCUAGUCCUUCUGCGGCAUAUCUUGUGCUUGAACGACUAAAAUUCUGGUUAGUUUAUUCAAUAUUAGUUUCUUCAAAAAAAAAAUUCUUGAAUUCGAAUGCUUAAAAAUGUAUCGUAGAUACCCGUUAACAAGGCCCUAAAAAUUAUUUUUAUAGGUGGUGGAGCUGGAAAUAAGGUGUGAUAUGCCUAAGUUGGAUGUCAACAUGAUUACCUCUAAAAUUAAGAGAGAAUAAGACAAUAUAAAUAAUAUUCAUUGUUGUCUUACAUAAUCAUAAAUGAAAGGUUCCGGAAAUUAGGAAAAGAAAAAAAAUUAAUUAUUUGGGUGCCCAUACAAUAUUUAAAUGACAUAUUUUGGAAAAAUCUAUCAUAGGCAUAUUUCACAUUUAUUUUUCUAGCACAAUAAAUCAUUCUUCUUUGCCAUGCAUUUUUGUACUCCCCAGGAUCUAGGACUCAAAAUAGAUCCUCAAAUUGAGAAAGAUUACUGACAAAUUUACAUACGUGAUCAAUGCAUUUAAUAGCUAAUAAGUUGUUCAAGGAUUUUGGACAAUCAUCAUCAGUUUCACAUUUAAUAUGUGCUGUAAUGAAAAGAGAUAAUAAAAUUAAUAUGUGCUGUAAUGAAAAGAGAUAAUAAAAUAAUGUUAUCAAAACAUGAUAAAAGAUUGUGUACGAACUUAUGAAGCAAAGAAGAAAAUGUGAAUAAGAUAAAAGAAAAGGCUUACCACCACGAACUUUCGCUGAUAAAAUAAUUAAGAAAAUAAA